AUGAACGCUGGCGGCGUGCCUAAUACAUGCAAGUCGAGCGAACGGACGAGAAGCUUGCUUCUCUGAUGUUAGCGGCGGACGGGUGAGUAACACGUGGAUAACCUACCUAUAAGACUGGGAUAACUUCGGGAAACCGUAGCUAAUACCGGAUAAUAUUUUGAACCGCAUGGUUCAAAAGUGAAAGACGGUCUUGCUGUCACUUAUAGAUGGAUCCGCGCUGCAUUAGCUAGUUGGUAAGGUAACGGCUUACCAAGGCAACGAUGCAUAGCCGACCUGAGAGGGUGAUCGGCCACACUGGAACUGAGACACGGUCCAGACUCCUACGGGAGGCAGCAGUAGGGAAUCUUCCGCAAUGGGCGAAAGCCUGACGGAGCAACGCCGCGUGAGUGAUGAGGGUCUUCGGAUCGUAAAACUCUGUUAUUAGGGAAGAACAUAUGUGUAAGUAACUGUGCACAUCUUGACGGUACCUAAUCAGAAAGCCACGGCUAACUACGUG
rnacentral:rRNA from 1 species